rnacentral:lncRNA from 1 species
GUAUUCACCAUACAUGUAAAAAUAAGAUGGAAAGGACCCAUCUUGUUUCACCACUUUGUCUUAAAAUUAAUCAGAUAAUUUUCAGGAGAGGCAAAUUUUUGGUUCUCACAAGAACUAGAUAAAUAUUAGAGGUUGUGAACUUUUUAAGAAAUUAGUAUUUCUGACAUUUGGCUGCUUUUGAUCUACUAUUUUUCACUUGAUCAUCAGUAAAUUCAGUUUCUCCAAAUGUCCAGGAAAAAGGUUGCCAGAAAGAAAUGUAUGGUGCUCAUGUUCUAAAAGUCUGUGUAGACAAGCGAGAUGUUAUUCAAAACCAAGAUGAUCCAUUCAAGUUUCCUAGAGCAUUUAAAUAGCAAAACAAUGGCCUUCAAAACCAUUUUGGCAUAUAUUUAUGAGAUUAAAUAUAAGAAAACCAUUACAAAGUUUGGGCUCA